rnacentral:rRNA from 1 species
GUAAACCAUCUUUCAGUAGGGAAGAAGCGAAAGUGACGGUACCUGCAGAAGAAGCGCCGGCUAACUACGUGCCAGCAGCCGCGGUAAUACGUAGGGCGCAAGCGUUAUCCGGAAUUAUUGGGCGUAAAGAGCUCGUAGGCGGUUUGUCGCGUCUGCCGUGAAAGUCCGGGGCUCAACUCCGGAUCUGCGGUGGGUACGGGCAGACUAGAGUGAUGUAGGGGAGACUGGAAUUCCUGGUGUAGCGGUGAAAUGCGCAGAUAUCAGGAGGAACACCGAUGGCGAAGGCAGGUCUCUGGGCAUUAACUGACGCUGAGGAGCGAAAGCAUGGGGAGCGAACAGGAUUAGAUAC